rnacentral:ncRNA from 1 species
GAUCAAGCGUUAAAGGGCUUCUAACGGAUGCCUUGGCGUAGAGAGGCGAAGAAAGACGUGGCAAGCUGCGAUAAGAUACGGGGAGGCGCUAGCACCCUUUGAUCCGUAUAUUUCUGAAUGGGGAAACCCACCUUUGAUUGCCCUCUCAUUUUAGCGGUUCCUUCGGGGACUUCUGAGA